UCCAGUUUCUAUUGGCAACAAAAAAAAAUUUUCAUUUUAAUUGAAACAUUUAAUUUUGAAUUGUAUAGUCAUUGUAGGUUUUUUUCCCUUCUGUUUGAUUCAUUUCCAGACUUAAUUUUCAUGGAAUUAUUAUCCUCAUGGGUAAAAUUGUUUCUACGUGUGCAUGAAUUUUACAAUAUUUGAUAAUUGAUUUUUUAUAGGUUAUGGAAACGUCUCUUUAAUUACCUUGAAUGAUGUGAAGGCCACAGAGUUAAUUGCAACUAAGGAAGAUUUAAUUUUAAAGAAAAACACACUCUGAAAAGGUGUUGGGCAUGCAGGAUAUUAUUACGGAGAAUGCCUAGACCAACACUUGUAGGAACAAGGGGAAGGAAGCAGGUUUGGGCAAAGAAAGAAGCCAACCACAGCACAGACCUAAACACACCUACACCUGUGGAAAGGAGGGGAAGGAAGCAGAUUGGGCAGAGGAGAAAGCCAGGCUGCACGGAAAACCCAGCACAUCUCGGCUGAUCCUGCAAGUGGUUUUGGAGCUUAAAUGCCUUUCAGAGUUGCCCUGAGCUGGGUCAAGAUGGUCAGACCUUUGUAUUCCCACUUCUUCCAAUCAUUGGGUAAUGUGGGCCACUCGGGAGUAGGAACAUGACCUUCGAGAAAGAUGACCUUAAGUGGCUGGGCUCUGCGUCUGAGGUGAGCCCUGAAGAGCAUUGUGAAAACUGUUGACAUACCUGCAGCAGCUGGGGUAGCAAGCUCUUCAGUGAAGGACUGUCUGGAUGCUACAUCACUGGAUAACGUGACGGCCAUAUUGUCUCGGUAGAGACCAAUGGCCUCAAAGAAACCAAGAAAUGGAAUAUGAAUGAAUGCAGUGAUGCAAAUCCAUCUCCUUUUCUGCAAACUCAAUUACAUUGAAUGUCCUACUAAUGAAGACCUAAUCAUCU